CUCCCUCCAGUUCGCGGUCAAGGUUGACGCCUUGGACACGGGGGCAGGGGCUGUCCUCUCGCAGCGGGACCCCACGACCCAGAAACUUCACCCCUGUGCCUUUUUUUUCCCGUCGUCUGUCCCCUGCCGAGAGGAACUACGAUGUCGGCAACCGAGAGCUACUGGCCAUUGUAUGGGCCUUGAAAGAAUAGAGGAACUGGCUGGAGGGGACUGAACUACCAUUCAUCAUUUGGACUGACCACAAGAAUCUCUUACCUCCGUUCCGCCAAAUGCCUUAACCCUCGACAAGGUCGCUGGGCUCUCUUCUUGAGCAGGUUUAAUUUCAGUCUCUUGUUCCAUCCUGGCUCCAAAAACAGCAAACCAGAUGCCCUGUCUCGACUUUAGUCACCCCCCUCCAGCCCUGACGAACCAGAACCCAUCCUUCCUUCCUCAUGCCACAGCCACUUGGCAGAUCGAACAGGUGGUUCAGGAGGCCCAAAAGACUCACCCGGAUCCCAAGACCGGGCCUCCAAACCGCCUGUUCGUACCCAAUUCCGCACGCUCUGACGUUCUUCAGUGGGGUCACAACUCCAAACUCACCUGUCAUCCUGGCAUCACCCGCACCAUUCAGUUCAUCCGGCAGCAUUUGUGGUGACUCAGCCUUGUUCAAGACACAGGGGAGUUCGUCCAAGCCCCUGUGCCCGACGGAAGUCUUCACACCUGCCCCCAGCUGGGAUGCUGCGUCCAUUGCCUAUCCCUAGCCGCCCUUGGUCCCAUAUCGCUCUGGACUUUGUUACCGGUCUACCUCCUUCUGAAGGUAACUCUAUCAUUCUCACUAUUGUCGAUCGCGUUUCCAAAUCCUUCCAUUACGUACCCCUCCCCAAACUACCAUCUGCCUUCGAUACUGCUAACCUCCUUGUCCAGCAUGUCUUUAGACUCCACGGUAUUCCCAUCAAUGUUGUCUCUGACCGAGAUCCUCAGUUCUCAUCCCUGGUAUGCGGGUGCAGCAUCCAGCUUGUCGUCAGGAUAUCAUCCGCAGACCAAUGGCCAGACAGAGCGGGCAAACCAAUCCCUUGAAUCUGCCCUCCGUUGUGUUGCCACACGCAACCCCUCCUGUAGCUCAUUCCUCCCAUGGAUUGAGUACGCCCACAACUCCCUCACCAGUUCCGCUACCGGUAUGUCCCCAUUCAUGGCUUGCUAUGGUUACCGACCCCCAUUAUUCAAAGAACAGGAGGAGGCAGUGGCAGUCCCCGCCGUCAAGGAUCAUCUCCGGAGAAUCCAGGCAGUGUGGAAAGACGUCCGAGCGGCGUUGACCCGGUCCGCCACAUGCAAUAAACAGCUCGGGGACCGUCAUCGCUCCCCGACGCCCGAAUACAAGGUGGGCCAAUCUGUCUGGCUUUCUUCUCAUGACCUCCCGCUUCAGACAGAGUCUCGGAGACUCACUCUGCGUUUCAUUGGUCCCUUCCCCAUUACCAAGAUCAUCAAUCCCACUUCCGUCCAAUUGAAGCUUCCACAGUCUCUGAAAAUUCAUCCCACAUUCCAUGUCUCUUUGCUGGAUCCUGUCUCCACCUGCACCCUAAGCCCUCCGGCUGAAACCUACCCCCACCCGGGUUAUUGACAACCAUCCGGCCUUCACGGUGUCACGCAUCCUCAAUGUGAGGCCUAGUGGGAGGGGGUUCCAGUACCUUGUCGACUGGGAAGGGUACGGGCUGCAGGAGCGUUCUUGGAUUUCACGGAAGCUCAUCCUCGAUCCUACUCUUUUGGACGACUUCUAUGUGGCUCACCCGGGGAAGCCUGGCAGGAUGCCGGGAGGCAUCCGUUGAGAGGGGGUUACUGUAAUAUACGCCCUGCAGUUCCAUUAUUGGAGCCGGGAGGGCGUUUUGUGUCCUCGCUCUCCCCCCUUCCCUCUCUGUUUUCAGCACCUGUCUUCAAUCAGCCUCAUCACCACCGGUGUAUGUAAGCCUGCCUGUUCCCGGUAAUCCUCUCCUAAGUAUUGCUGCCUCUCCUAGCGUGCUCCCCUGUUCCUGACCCACGUCAUUCCUGCCACCAAGCCAGCCGCCUGUUCUGUCCACUGCCUGCCACCUGUCCACGCUGCCACCUGCCAACACAUCCAGGACCACCUCCAUAACCUUUCCUCAAUAAACUGUUCAUCAUUUUA